rnacentral:rRNA from 1 species
CGCUGGCGGCGUGCUUAACACAUGCAAGUCGAACGGAAAGGCCCUGCUUUUGUGGGGUGCUCGAGUGGCGAACGGGUGAGUAACACGUGAGUAACCUGCCCUUGACUUUGGGAUAACUUCAGGAAACUGGGGCUAAUACCGGAUAGGAGCUCCUGCUGCAUGGUGGGGGUUGGAAAGUUUCGGCGGUUGGGGAUGGACUCGCGGCUUAUCAGCUUGUUGGUGGGGUAGUGGCUUACCAAGGCUUUGACGGGUAGCCGGCCUGAGAGGGUGACCGGCCACAUUGGGACUGAGAUACGGCCCAGACUCCUACGGGAGGCAGCAGUGGGGAAUAUUGCACAAUGGGCGGAAGCCUGAUGCAGCAGCGCCGCGUGCGGGAUGACGGCCUUCGGGUUGUAAACCGCUUUCGCCUGUGACGAAGCGUGAGUGACGGUAAUGGGUAAAGAAGCACCGGCUAACUACGUGCCAGCAGCCGCGGUGAUACGUAGGGUGCGAGCGUUGUCCGGAUUUAUUGGGCGUAAAGGGCUCGUAGGUGGUUGAUCGCGUCGGAAGUGUAAUCUUGGGGCUUAACCCUGAGCGUGCUUUCGAUACGGGUUGACUUGAGGAAGGUAGGGGAGAAUGGAAUUCCUGGUGGAGCGGUGGAAUGCGCAGAUAUCAGGAGGAACACCAGUGGCGAAGGCGGUUCUCUGGGCCUUUCCUGACGCUGAGGAGCGAAAGCGUGGGGAGCGAACAGGCUUAGAUACCCUGGUAGUCCACGCUGUAAACGGUGGGUACUAGGUGUGGGGUCCAUUCCACGGGUUCCGUGCCGUAGCUAACGCUUUAAGUACCCCGCCUGGGGAGUACGGCCGCAAGGCUAAAACUCAAAGGAAUUGACGGGGCCCCGCACAAGCGGCGGAGCAUGCGGAUUAAUUCGAUGCAACGCGUAGAACCUUACCUGGGUUUGACAUGGAUCGGGAGUGCUCAGAGAUGGGUGUGCCUCUUUUGGGGUCGGUUCACAGGUGGUGCAUGGCUGUCGUCAGCUCGUGUCGUGAGAUGUUGGGUUAAGUCCCGCAACGAGCGCAACCCUUGUUCACUGUUGCCAGCACGUUAUGGUGGGGACUCAGUGGAGACCGCCGGGGUCAACUCGGAGGAAGGUGGGGAUGACGUCAAGUCAUCAUGCCCCUUAUGUCCAGGGCUUCACGCAUGCUACAAUGGCUGGUACAGAGAGUGGCGAGCCUGUGAGGGUGAGCGAAUCUCGGAAAGCCGGUCUCAGUUCGGAUUGGGGUCUGCAACUCGACCUCAUGAAGUCGGAGUCGCUAGUAAUCGCAGAUCAGCAACGCUGCGGUGAAUACGUUCCCGGGGCUUGUACACACCGCCCGUCAAGUCAUGAAAGUUGGUAACACCCGAAGCCGGUGGCCUAACCGUUGUGGGGGAGCCGUCGAAGGUGGG